UACGGAGGGUGCAAGCGUUGUCCGGAUUUACUGGGCGUAAAGCGCGCGCAGGCGGUCGUUCAAGUCGAGUGUGAAAGCCCCCGGCUCAACUGGGGAGGGUCACUCGAUACUGCUCGACUCGAAGGCAGGAGAGGGAAGUGGAAUUCCCGGUGUAGUGGUGAAAUGCGUAGAUAUCGGGAGGAACACCAGUGGCGAAGGCGACUUCCUGGCCUGUUAUUGACGCUGAGGCGCGAAAGCGAGGGGAGCAAACGGG
rnacentral:rRNA from 1 species